rnacentral:rRNA from 1 species
UACGUAGGGGGCUAGCGUUGUCCGGAUUUAUUGGGCGUAAAGAGCGUGUAGGCGGCCAGGUAGGUCUGGUGUGAAAACUCGAGGCUUAACCUCGAGAUGUCAUCGGAAACCAUCUGGCUAGAGUCCGGAAGAGGAGAGUGGAAUUCCUGGUGUAGCGGUGAAAUGCGCAGAUAUCAGGAAGAACACCAGUGGCGAAGGCGGCUCACUGGACCGGUAUUGACGCUGAGGUGCGAAAGCGUGGGGAGCAAACAGG